rnacentral:rRNA from 1 species
UACGUAGGGCGCGAGCGUUGUCCGGAAUUAUUGGGCGUAAAGAGCUCGUAGGCGGCCUGUUGCGUCCGCUGUGAAAUCCCAGGGCUUAACCCUGGGCGUGCAGUGGAUACGGGCGGGCUAGAGUUCGGUAGGGGAGACUGGAAUUCCUGGUGUAGCGGUGAAAUGCGCAGAUAUCAGGAGGAACACCGGUGGCGAAGGCAGGUCUCUGGGCCAUAACUGACGCUGAGAAGCGAAAGCAUGGGGAGCGAACAGG